CCUACGGGAGGCAGCAGUGGGGAAUCUUCCGCAAUGGGCGCAAGCCUGACGGAGCAACGCCGCGUGAGUGAAGAAGGUCUUCGGAUCGUAAAGCUCUGUUGAAGGGGACGAACGUGCAUAACAUGAAUAAGGUUAUGUAAUGACGGUACCUUUUGAGGAAGCCACGGCUAACUACGUGCCAGCAGCCGCGGUAAUACGUAGGUGGCGAGCGUUGUCCGGAAUCAUUGGGCGUAAAGGGAGCGCAGGCGGUCAUGUAAGUCUUACUUAAAAGUUCGGGGCUCAACCCCGUGAUGGGUAAGAAACUAUAUGACUUGAGUACAGGAGAGGAAAGCGGAAUUCCCAGUGUAGCGGUGAAAUGCGUAGAUAUUGGGAGGAACACCAGUGGCGAAGGCGGCUUUCUGG
rnacentral:rRNA from 1 species